UACGUAGGGGGCGAGCGUUGUCCGGAUUCAUUGGGCGUAAAGAGCUCGUAGGCGGUUCGGUAAGUCGGGUGUGAAAUCUCCGUGCUCAACACGGAGCGGCCACCUGAUACUGCCGUGACUCGAGUCCGGUAGGGGAGUGUGGAAUUCCCGGUGUAGCGGUGAAAUGCGCAGAUAUUGGGAGGAACACCGGUGGCGAAGGCGGCUAUCUGGACCGGUACUGACGCUGAUACGCGAAAGCCAGGGGAGCAAACGGG
rnacentral:rRNA from 1 species